AUUUAAUCUGAAGGGCAGAUUGGAGACACGGGUAGCUGCAUCAUGUUGCGUCGUCCAGAAGCAUGGCCUUAAUGUCCAAGGAGGUCGGGAAACCAAAUUGGAGAAGAGAUCCUGCUGAGAUGAACAUAGUGGGCACAGCCGGAAGAUGGGCAGCGCUGGUUAAAUCAUCAGUCGCUAUGAUUUAUUGUUCCUUUAAAGAACAGCGACUUGAUUGUGCAUGAAAUAUGUUCGCCAGGCUUGGCAAUCCAGUUUAGCAUCUGGGAUGUCCAUUCAGUUGGAAUUAAUUCAAAAGCAAGCUUAAAGCUGUUUUAAUCGUACAUCGAAGUAUCCGAGAGUACCUAUCGAUGAAUCUUGAUUAUCCUGUUUCAGCCGCCACCUCUGAUCGGGAGCUGGUUGUUGGGAGGGUUGUAGACUGAGCUUCCUCCUUAAGUCUCACUCCCCAACACUUGACGAAAAGAAAACGAUUCCCACCGGAGAGAAAAAGCUCUGUGGAAUUGGAGGGAACAUUGGGAAAUUGAUAGAGGAAAAAUUCUCUGUGUAUAAGGAUUCCAAAACAGGUUUUGAUCCAGUUUUCUGAAUAGAAUGCCUUUUUCUGCAAUUAUUGAUUCUUUAAAAAUUUUAAAUCAUUUUAAGCUAAUGCAAAAAUUAAGGAACAAACAAAAUAUGUAAUGAACAUUGGCCAACCAA